rnacentral:rRNA from 1 species
UACGUAGGGUGCAAGCGUUUGUCCGGAAUUAUUGGGCGUAAAGAGCUCGUAGGCGGUUUGUCGCGUCUGCUGUGAAAACCCGAGGCUCAACCUCGGGCCUGCAGUGGGUACGGGCAGACUAGAGUGCGGUAGGGGGAGAAUGGAAUUCCUGGUGUAGCGGUGGAAUGCGCAGAUAUCAGGAGGAACACCGAUGGCGAAGGCAGUUCUCUGGGCCGUUACUGACGCUGAGGAGCGAAAGCGUGGGGAGCGAACAGG